AAUCCGAUAGCAAACAAGUACCGUGAGGGAAAGUUGCAAAGUACUUUGAAGAGAGAGUUCAAGAGGACGUGAAACCGAUAGGGUGGAAGCAAAUGAAGUUGACGAACGAGUGUCGUAUUCAGGAUUGUAUCUUGUGUGCAAUCUGUUUUUGCGGCCGUGUGGGCUGGCGGCUUUGGCUAAUGUGAGUGUUUGGCAUUAAUGGUGACCCUGUGGAGGGAGAUUCGUUUGGUGUGCGAUGCUUAGUAUAGCUAAGGUUUCGCCGGUCUUGAGGUCAACGCCUCAUUUGACCCGUCUUGAAACACGGACCAAGGAGUGUAGCGUUUACGCGAGUCUUAGAGUGUGUGAAAACUUAGAGGCAGAACGAAAGUGAAUGCGGUUUAAUCCGCUGAAUUGGGAUACAUCGUCUCUUGUAGACGGUGUCGGACCAUGGUUUUAUCGCGAUCGCUUGCGAUGCGGUGAAAAUUGAGCGUAAACGGUGCGACCCGAAAGAUGGUGAACUAUGCCUGAACAGGAUGAAGCCGGAGGAAACUCUGGUGGAAGUCCGAAGCGGUUCUGACGUGCAAAUCGAUCGUCUGAUUUGGGUAUAGGGGCGAAAGACUAAUCGAACCAU
rnacentral:rRNA from 1 species